rnacentral:rRNA from 1 species
AACGCGAAGAACCUUACCCAGGCUCGAAAUGCAGUGGACAGCAUCAGAAAUGAUGUGUUCCGAAAGGACCGCUGUAUAGGUGCUGCAUGGCUGUCGUCAGCUCGUGCCGUGAGGUGUUGGGUUAAGUCCCGCAACGAGCGCAACCCUUAUCAUUAGUUGCCAACACGUGAAGGUGGGGACUCUAAUGAGACUGCCUAGGUUAACUAGGAGGAAGGUGAGGAUGACGUCAAGUCCGCAUGGCCUUUAUGUCUGGGGCUACACACGUGCUACAAUGGUCGGUACAGAAGGCAGCAAGACCGUAAGGUGGAGCAAAUCCCUAAAGCCGAUCUCAGUUCAGAUUGUAGUCUGCAACUCGACUACAUGAAGUUGGAAUUGCUAGUAAUGACGUGUCAGCAACAACGUCGUGAAUACGUUCCCGGGCCUUGUACCACCGGUAUA